AGUGAACGCUGGCGGUAGGCCUAACACAUGCAAGUUGAACGGCAGCACAGUAAGAGCUUGCUCUUACGGGUGGCGAGUGGCGGACGGGUGAGGCAUACAUCGGAAUCUACUUUUUCGUGGGGGAUAACGUAGGGAAACUUACGCUAAUACCGCAUACGACCUACGGGUGAAAGCAGGGGUUCUUCGGACCUUGCGCGACUGAAUGAGCCGAUGUCGGAUUAGCUAGUUGGCGGGGUAAAGGCACACCAAGGCAACGAUCCGUAGCUGGUCUGAGAGGAUGAUCGGCCACACUGGAACUGAGACACGGUCCAGACUCCUACGGGAGGCAGCAGUGGGGAAUAUUGGACAAUGGGCGCAAGCCUGAUCCAGCCAUACCGCGUGGGUGAAGAAGGCCUUCGGGUUGUAAAGCCCUUUUGUUGGGAAAGAAAAGCAGCAGGUUAAUACCCCGCUGUUCUGACGGUACCCAAAGAAUAAGCACCGGCUAACUUCGUG
rnacentral:rRNA from 1 species